CAUGUAGGGAGCAAGCGUUGUCCGGAUUUAUUGGGCGUAAAGAGCUCGUAGGUGGUUCGGUAAGUCGGGUGUGAAAGUCAAAGGCUCAACCUUUGAAUGCCGCUGGAAACUGUCUGGCUAGAGUCCGGGAGGGGCGAGUGGAAUUCCUGGUGUAGCGGUGAAAUGCGUAGAUAUCGGAAGGAACACCGGUGGCGAAAGCGGCGCGCUGGACCUCUUCUGACGCUGAGGCGCGAAAGCCAGGGGAGCAAACGGG
rnacentral:rRNA from 1 species